rnacentral:tRNA from 1 species
GCGGCAGUAGCUCACCUGGAUAGAGCGCCGGGAUCCCAUCCCGGAGAAGAGGGUUCGGGACCCUCCUGCCGCU